UACACAGAGAAACUGGGACAGGACAGAAAUGUUGUUGGAUAUUGUGAAUCCUUCCACUUCAGCUUUACACCUGUACUUUUACUAAUGUGACUUG